CACGGGGGUUGGAGGGCAAGUCUGGUGCCAGCAGCCGCGGUAAUUCCAGCUCCAAUAGCGUAUAUUAAAGUUGUUGCAGUUAAAAAGCUCGUAGUUGAAUUUCGGGGUUAGUAGGUUGGUCAUGCCUCUGGUAUGUACUGGUCUCACUGAUUCCUCCUUCCUUAUGAACCGUAAUGCCAUUAAUUUGGUGUUGCGGGGAAUUUGGACUGUUACUUUGAAAAAAUUAGAGUGUUUAAAGCAAGCUAACGCUUGAAUACAUUAGCAUGGAAUAAUGAAAUAGGACGUUCGAUCUUAUUUUGUUGGUUUCUAGGAUUGACGUAAUGAUUAAUAGGGAUAGUUGGGGGCAUUAGUAUUCAAUUGUCAGAGGUGAAAUUCUUGGAUUUAUUGAAGACUAACUACUGCGAAAGCAUUUGCCAAGGAUGUUUUCAUUAAUCAAGAACGAAAGUUAGGGGAUCGAAGACGAUCAGAUACCGUCGUAGUCUAACCAUAAACUAUGCCGACUAGGAUCG
rnacentral:rRNA from 1 species